rnacentral:tRNA from 1 species
UAGACGGAAGCCCGAUGGGUUAGGGCAUUUAGCUGUUAACUAGAAGUUUAUGGGAUCGAAGCCCAUCUGUCUAG